rnacentral:rRNA from 1 species
AGUCUUUGGUGAAUCUGUGCUUGCCAGGCUAACCAGGCGGACGGGUGAGUAACGCGUAAAGAACUUGCCCUGCAGACAGGGAUAACAGACGGAAACGACUGAUAACACCUGAUACAAUUGCCGGCACGCAUGUGCCUGGCAAUGAAAAGAGAUGCUGCGGGAGAGCUUUGCGUCCUAUUAGCUUGUUGGUGAGGUAACGGCUCACCAAGGCGAUGAUAGGUAGCCGGCCUGAGAGGGUGAACGGCCACAAGGGGACUGAGAUACGGCCCUUACUCCUACGGGAGGCAGCAGUGGGGAAUAUUGGACAAUGGGGGCAACCCUGAUCCAGCAAUUCUGUGUGCACGAAGAAGGUUUUCGGAUUGUAAAGUGCUUUCAGCAGGGAAGAAGAAAGUGACGGUACCUGCAGAAGAAGCGACGGCUAAAUACGUGCCAGCAGCCGCGGUAAUACGUAUGUCGCAAGCGUUAUCCGGAAUUAUUGGGCAUAAAGGGCAUCUAGGCGGCCAGACAAGUCUGGGGUGAAAACUUGCGGCUCAACCGCAAGCCUGCCCUGGAAACUGUUUGGCUAGAGUGCUGGAGAGGUGGACGGAACUGCACGAGUAGAGGUGAAAUUCGUAGAUAUGUGCAGGAAUGCCGAUGAUGAAGAUAGUUCACUGGACGGCAACUGACGCUGAAGUGCGAAAGCUAGGGGAGCGAACAGGAUUAGAUACCCUGGUAGUCCUAGCUGUAAACGAUGAUUACUGGGUGU